ACAUUUAUACAGUAGCCAAUAUUCGGCCAAUGUAGUUCCGGAUUAGUAUUUGUUGCGAAACAUUUUUAAUAAUGGUAUCGUUUGACAGAGUAAAAAAAAGAUUAAUAUCAAACUUUGGGAUUUACCUGUGACUCCAAACUUUUUACAGAAGUUCAAUGUUUGCUCUGAGAAGUUGAAUGAACAAAAUUUAUUAAAUGUGCAAUCUGUAUCUUAAACUUUAACGAGAAUUGUUUUGUGUCAGUGCCAGAAAUUGAAUACACACCUGCAAAUUUCGUAAUUCAUAAAAAUAUUAUGAAUCCAUUAGCAAGUAUAUAUUUUUAUCAAUAAAAAUUUGCCCCUAUGUCUUUAAUUUUAUCUGUUUUUUUAGUGAUUGUUGUAUUUACUAUCAUAAAUUUUAAAUAUAAUAUGUAAUUAGUUGUAUAGUUUCAUAAUAAUAUAAUUAACUUUAUUGUUAAUUAUAUAAAAUUGUAUCCUUGAAAGAUAUACUGGUAUUAUUGGCACAAUGGGCAAGCAUUAAAGUGCAACUUAGUGAACUACAAAACACAUCAAAUUCAGUUAUAAAAAUUUGAGUAACAAAAGUAUGCUAAUUAUUGUAUUCCCUGAAAGAGUGUCCAUGCCAUUAAAAGCAGUAAAGAAUUCAAGUACUCUCGAAAAAAAGACAAGAAAAUACUUAAGUAAAUGGUUGAGUAUUUUUGCAGGUCAAUUAUUUGUCACAAAUUGGAGUUAAAAACGAAGGAGAUUGUAUAUGUUAUUUACUAAGAAUAGUUUUUUAAAAUGGCCUAGCUGUAAAAUUAAAUUAUGCCGGGAGAGGACAAAAAAUUGGAAUAGGAAAAAUGUUGAUUGCAUAUAUUGCUAUUGAAACUGUGAAGU